UAUUAAAUCUAGCGGGCUGAACUACCCUUGUCUACUCAGUACUAGCCAAUAUCCCUAACUACUCCAUGCAACACAACCUACUACCAACUUCUACUAGAAACCACAUCGACCGCAUUUAAUAAAACUUCCUUUGGGGUUCCACCUCUGAAAGAAGGAAGAUACACCUUGCCAAUUGGGAUGUAGUCACCAGACCAAAAAACUUUGGGAGAUUGGGCCUAUAAAAGACGCAUGAAAAAAAUUUGCAAUGCUAGCAGGGCUUCUAUGGCGUUUCAACAUCAACAUAAAUACUUUGUGGGCUAAAGUUCUCAAAGCAAAAUACAUCCAAAACAUAUGUAAAGGGAUAUACCAAGUAAAAUCAACUGACUCCUAUGUAUGAAAAAGUAUGACCAAAGCCCAUGGUCUCUUUCAAUCAGGGUUCUCUUGGAGCAUAGGUGAUGGAACUACCAUCAACCUCUGAAAUGAUGACUGGCUACCAAAUAACAACUGCCUCCGCAAAUCCAUCCAAGGUCCCAUCACCCACAUGGAAGAAGAACCCAUAGUCUCUACAAUCAUAUCCAACCACUCUUGGACUCUCGACAGGAUCUCAUUAAUAUUACCAUCUGCUAUCAUAGACCAAAUACACCUCACAUACAUUCCAUUCUCAACCCACAAACCAGACCACUCAUUUUGGAACCAAAAAGCUCUUGGUAACUUUACCACCAAAUCAGCUUACCUACUUCAACUAUAGAUCACAAACCAACUCCCUCCGACCAGAUCUACCAAUACCUCUUGGAUUUGGCGUAUCAAGUACUUAAAUAAGUUUAAAUUCUUUCUCUGGCUACUGCUCCGCCAAAAACUCCCUACUAGGGACUUUCUAUACAAAAUAAACAUACUCCAAUCAAACUUUUGUCACUUCUGUCCUGAUUUAAUGGAAGACAUCCACCAUAUUUGUUUUUACAUGGAUAAAAUCCAGCUACUUAUGGCCUUUGUUUAAUAUACCCAUACCUCAACAACACAACCUUGACACAUGGCACAAGGAAAUGUGUAAAAAGGACACCACCAUCAACACACCUAACGCUACUAUAUACUCCACCCUACUACCAUUCCUCCUUUGGAACAUCUGGGUUAACAGGAACUCCAACCUGUUCAACCACACAUCUGCUACUACUUGCUAAAAAACAUCAUCUUGCAAGUCUCAGAAUUCAUAUCACUCACCACGACCAUAGCUUCCUCAAACCCCAGACACCAAGUCCCAAUCAAAUGGCUACUGCCACCUCCAAUGCUUUACAAGCUCAACAUCGAUGGUGCUUUUGAAUCAGAUAACCACACCAGUGGUAUAUAGGGGCUGAUCAGAGACCACACGAGCUCAUGGGUCGUGGGGUUCGCACAGAGCGCGAUUGCAACAUCUGCCUUACAUGCUGAGCUGCUUGCCCCAUUAGCAGGGCUGGAAGUUGCUUUCACAAAGAAUCUCUUUUCAAUUGUAAUUGAAACAGAUUCCCAGGAAAUUAUGUGGCUAGCGCUUUAGCAAAAUAUGGAUGAACCACAUGCAUCUAGCAACAAUGGAAGUGGACAACACUAUAUUCUGGGAAACACCUCCGCACUUUAUUUUAUAUGCUUUCAGUAAUGACAGAUCGGAAAGAGUCGCUAUGCGAUCUCUCCUUGCUAUGUAAUAACUGAAUCAUAUGCUUUUCUUUUAGUUAUGAAGUACUCCUUUCUUUAGCAACAAAAA